rnacentral:rRNA from 1 species
UACAGAGGUCUCAAGCGUUUGUUCGGGAUUCAUUGGGCGUAAAGGGUGCGUAGGCGGCGCGGUAAGUCGGGUGUGAAAUCUUGGAGCUUAACUCCGAAACUGCAUUCGAUACUGCCGUGCUUGAGGACUGGAGAGGAGACUGGAAUUUACGGUGUAGCGGUGAAAUGCGUAGAUAUCGUAAGGAAGACCAGUGGCGAAGGCGGGGUCUCUGGACAGUUCCUGACGUGAGGCACGAAGGCCCAGGGGAGCAAACGGG